UCUUUAGACCUUUGCAACUAUAUUUAAGAGCAACGCCCCAGGAUGGGAACAUAGCAAGGCACUUUUUUAUAUGGUGUGUUUAGGUAUCUGGAGAGGA
rnacentral:SRP_RNA from 1 species